GACAGCAGCAGCCACGGUAAGACAGAGGAUGCAAGCGUUAUCCGGAAUGAUUGGGCUUAAAGCGUCUGUAGGUGGCUUUUCAAGUCCGCCGUCAAAUCCCAGGGCUCAACCCUGGACAGGUGGUGGAAACUACCAAGCUGGAGUACGGUAGGGGCAGAGGGAAUUUCCGGUGGAGUAGUGGAAUGUGUUGAGAUCAGAAAGAAAACCAACGGCAAAAGCACUCUGCUGGGCCGACAUUGACACUGAGAGACGAAAGUAAGGGGAGCAAAUUGGAUUAGAUACCCGCGUAGUCCCUGUCUCUUAUAC
rnacentral:rRNA from 1 species